AAAAAAAAAAAAAUAGUUGUUAAAAUACCAGGAUGUCCAAUAUGUCAAUGCAUUCAUCUUCUGAAACUAAGUUUGAUGAGCCAAGUGAUGUUCUUAAAUGGGGUGAAGAGACACAACAAAAAUUUGGGGAUAAUAUAAAUAAUUCUUCUCAAAUAUCAGUACUAUCCAAGUGUCAGCUCUCUUUUACACAAAAUGAUUUAGCAAAACUAAAAAUGAUUUGGGAGGCAUUGACACCUCAACGGAGAUUCAUUUUUCGAAGAAAUAUGGACAUAUAGCAGAGUUGAUGUACAUACCGGUGAAUCAUUUUGCUUUAAGAGCCAUAAUUAAUUUUUGGGAUCCAACAUAUAAUUGUUUUACACUUGGGUCAUGUGAUUUACUGCCAACCAUAGAAGAAUAUCAAGCUAUGCUUAGCAUGCCUGGAAAGGAAAGGAAAAUUGUUUAUUUCUUUAACCCUAAGCAAACAACAAAAAGGAUUUUGUCAAAAGUUUUAGAAACCGUCCAUGCCAUUGAAAUUCAUAAACAUAUAAAAGUUAAGGGUGGGGAAGAGAAUGUGUCAUUUGACUAUCUAUUAAUGAUGACAUAAACUUACAUUGUUGAAGACAAAUGUCUUGCUCUCUUGGCAUUAUGCAUUUAUGGAGCGGUGAUUUUUCCUAAAGCAGAAGGUUAUGUCGAUGGGAAAGUGAUCAGAUUAUUCUUUGAAAUAAAACGAGUCGAUCCUAUUAUACCUAUAUUGGCUGAAACUUUUCGAUCCCUUAACUUUUGUAGAAAUAAAGGUGCAGGAAAAUUGAAUUGUUGUGUUUCUUUAUUAUAUAUUUGGAUACACAGCCAUAUCAAAUUUUCGGCAGAGUUUAGGUGUCCAAAGUUAGAAUUCAGUAGCCCAUGAAACUUAAUGCGAAACACAUUUAGUGAGUUUGGUAUAGCAGUUUGGGACCCAACAUAUCCAAAGAAGGAGACUUGGGUGUCUUUCUUUUCAACGUUGAGUUCUAAAAAUGUCAUAUGGAAAGCCCAAUGGAUGCCUUUGAAAGCAGUAAUUUACAGAUCUGGAGAUUUUCAUAGUGUGCAUUUGUUGGGACCGUGGGGAGGUGUUAACUAUACACCAUUGUUAGUUUUGCGUCAAGUUUGGCUCAAACAGUUUAUACCACCAACUCAUAAUUUACAAGACUCUGACUUUCCAUAAGAUCAUGAAGACUGUCAAAGAAAAAACAUCGAGUAAUAUGUGCAUGGAAGUCUGUGAGGAAGAUAAAAGACAAAGGACACUAUGACGAGGUUACUAGUGGAUAUGAGGCGUGACAGACAAAUAAUAGAAGGAAAAAUGUAAUAUAUACCUUAAGGGAGGUAGUUGAAAGGGUAGAGGAGACAAGCUUUGAACAAUCAGACCAGUGGGUUGAGAAGAUCAUUAAAUUAGAAGAGAAAAAUCGACUGUUAGAGUAAGAGAAUGAGAAACUUCAAAAGGAGACGAGCCAAUGGAUAGAUCAUGCGACUUUUUUGCAUAAAGAGCUUGAAAAGACCAAGAGUUUCUUAAAAAAUCAAGAUAAGUUAGAAAAGAAUCUUGAGGUGUUAGAUGAAGGGAUGAGACGAAUGAAUAAAUCUAAUAGAAGUUUGAAAAAUGAAAAGACAAUAUUACAGACAACAGUAGAAUCGCAAGAUGAAUAUAUUAAAGACUUAGAAAGCAUGAAUGAAUAUUCUUUCGAGCUUGUCAAUGAUUUGAAAUCGUCAAUUGGUAAACGGGAAACACAAAUAGUAGAUGUGGAAGUACACAAUUGUUCUCUAUGCCAAACUGUCGAUAGCCUACGUGUGAAGAUGGUCGAGCACUCUAGAGAAGAAGAAGAUUAUAAAAAGGAGAGAAAAAAGAGAAUUUUUUAUCAUUUGGGGAUUUAGGAAGAGGUGUAGAGUGGAAAAUGAUCAAGAAAUAACCUUUGGCAUUUAAGAGCAGACCUAUUGGUAAGUUUUUUUUUAUUAUUAUUCAUGCUUGAUGAUACUGCUUUAAUUAUUAACUGUUGUGUUAAUCAUUUUACAUGCUAAAUUAGCAUCUUUCUUUAAUUACUGGCAUUCUACUUUCUAUUCUGUGUUAAUUUCUUUUUAAUUACUGGGCAUCCAUUCUGUGUUAAUUUCUUUUUUAAUUACUGGGUAUCCUAUUAUGUGUUAAUUUAUUUUUAAUUACUGGGCAUCCACUAGAAGAAAACCUGUCUACUAUGACAGUUAUAUAUCUCAAAAAAUGAAUGAAAAAAAAAACUGUCACAAAAUAGAAAAUUUCGCGUUUUUGGCGGGAAAAGACGGAAUUUUUCGGAUAAUACAUUUCGCGACAGUUAUUUGAUGUCAUAGAAUGUUACCAUUAAAAAAUUUAUUAUUUUAUAUUAAAAAAAUUAAAAUUACAUAUUUAUAUUUUAAAAAAAAAACCCAAAUUUCCCAAAAUUUUCCCCAAAUUCUUCCUCCCAUCCGCGUGCCCUAAUUUUCCCCCAAAUUUCCCCCAAUUUCUUCCUCCAAUCCGCGUGAAGUCCCGUCGCCACCACCACCCCCCUCCUGUCCGUCCGUCGAAACCUUCUCCACCAACCCGUUGCCACCACCCCCGUCUUCUCCAAACCUCUCCAAUCAACCCGAAGCUUCAAAUCGUGGGCGUCGGUCGUCACCCCUCCCCUUCGCCGGUAAGCUUCUCUUCCUUAUCUCUUUCUCUCUCUCUCUCUCUCUAUGAAGUUCUUCGUUGUCUCCAUUGGAUUGUUUCGUGAGUUUCAGUUUAUCCCAAUUUCAGUCAUUAAUCGUUGAUUUUCUGUUAUAUGACUUUAAUUCGUUCUUGCAACCACAUGAGCUUAUUUUGUGAAUUUGAGUUAUGCCCAAUUUCUGUUUUCUAACGGUUAGUUUCUCUUCAAUUUUAAUUUCUGAGUUAGCUUAUUAGUCUAAUUACUUGUACAAUGUAAGCCAAAGUACUUAUACAAACCUACCCUAAUCAACUAACUAAAGACAAACUAUUGUUAUAAUUAUUUGUCAACUAAUUCCCUUCAUCAUUCAUCAUGUCUGUAAAGGAAAUUGUCCUUCAAAUGUUUUAUGCUAAUUGGGGGUUGUUGAACUUAGUCCAGAAGUUUCCUUGCAGAUGGUUUCAUCACUAAUGUGGUAAUGAGACAACCUUUCAAAUUAAUGUAACAAAUUUAAUUAGUUUUCAUCAUGGCAGUCGAGUGAUUCGUUUAAUAUGGACGAAAGUCUUCAAAACUGUCAAAGUCGACAAAAUCCAAUAGGGGAGGUCUGAAUUGACUCAAGUCUUAGGAGAACGUUCCAUGGUAUUUGAGUGUUAAUAGGUGGAUUACGAUAUUUUCUUCGUAUAUAUAGUUACAAUAUUUUCUUUAUUAUAUAUAAUUUUGAUGUUGAUUAUCUAUUUUGGAAAAUAUACUUUUGUGUGUCUAUCUGUGGCGCUAUUUCCUACCACAAUCAUUUCCACCACAGCUAGAAAAUUCCUAAAUGGUAUGAAAUAAAUUAUUAAGUACUUUGAGGAUUAUCUACCGUUUUGAAAGUUUGAGUUUUAAAAGUUGUUGCCUAUAAUCUCUUUUGUAAUCAGGUUUAUUUCGAGGCCAACUUAGACCUCUACACAAUGGACAAGUCAUGGAUGACCCAAAAUAGGAUGUCAAGAGAAUAUGAUUUAGGAGUCGAAAGGCUCAAUAAAUUUGGGUUGAGUCAUGCCAAAGGUCUUAAUUCAAUUAGAUGUCCAUGUUUGAAUUGCGGCAAUCGUUUAAUUAAGGAUGUCUCAACAGUUCGGUAUCAUCUGUAUGCCAAUGGAAUUGAUAAGAGUUACAAGGUAUGGUUCUGGCAUGGUGAAGAAUUGAACUCAUAUAACGUUGCCAACACGAUGGAAAAUACAGUGGAUGAAACUGAUGAAAACGACGAUUUAUUUAAUACAAUUAAUAUGGUUCAAUCUGUUUAAGAACAAUCUUGUAAUGCAUCAAAUACCGUCGACACUAUGUUUGAUGACGCGAAGAAACCCUCACCGCCACUGCAACCGUCUCCGCGCCCUUGCUCUGUCUCCGUCGAAGCCCGAGCCGCCGUGUGAACUAGUAACCGCCACGUCCUCCGCUCACAACCGCCGUCCGAGUCCUCGUCGCCGCUCGUGCAGUAACCCAGAUCCGCUGCUCGCAACCGUCGGCCGGUUCGUGCAGUCCUGCCGUGCAAUCUCUCCGACCGCGUCUGUCUUCACCUUCAUGAAGCCGUCGACGCAUACAUCUUGUGAAGCCCGGUCGCCGCGUCAGAUCGUUGAUCGAUUUUGAGGCAGCCGCCACGUCUCCUUUGGCCGACCGCUGACCGACCCACACUUAGGAUUUAUGCUGCGAGUUUGAUAGUCGUGCGUUGAGGUGGUCGGAGUAACGUUAAGCUCUCUUACAUUCACAACCAGUUUGUGAAUUGUUGAGGGUUCAGUUCUCCAAUAUAUCGAAUUGUUUCGAGGACGUUAGUUGAUUAAGGAGCUUCCCUAACUUUGAGGCAAAGGUAAUAAAGGCGGCAAACCGGCGAGGGGCAGGAAGGAAGCGUG